GUAAUUAAAACGAGGGAACCACUCCGAAUCCAUAAAUGUUAGUGCGAUCGGGUUCAAAGUCAGUGCGCUUGGCGAACCUACCUUUAAUCCUAGGCCGCAUUUCAGCGUAAGAUUUUCUAGAGGCGUAACGGAUUGUCUUCUCAAAUUUUCUCUUUUUUCUCUUCUCUUUGUACCUGAGAACUCUCGCUUCUCUUUCAGCUGAUGCAAGUUCAUGCAUUGACUCCGUCCUUCUCCCUUGCUGCUUUGAUAUCUCCCUCAUCAUCGCACUUCCAUCUGGGACCACUCCAACCUCCAAUGAUGAUGAUGCCUGCAUAUCAAAU
rnacentral:lncRNA from 1 species